AUAAGCUGUAACUUUUAUUGCACAUUCCUGUUUGGUCUUGCAACGACCUUUCACCUUUUGAACUUUACGACCUCGGUCUCGACCAAACACUCAAGUCAGGGGUGGGACGAAGUCACCCGGAGGUGCUGAUCGCAGGUCUUACUGACCCUAGAUCAGCGCUCGGGCGGCCACUUCAGUCCGGUUCUUUGUGUUGACUGCAUUACCCAUAAGCCAAAUCACUGUCUAGACCAGGACCGAUGGGGAAGGGACAGCGGUGACAUCACGGAGGGGACUAGGAAGUAUUUUCGGGAGCUCGGGGGAAUUCACUAAAUUCCGCUGCGAUGCGCUCCACGGCAGCUCCCAAUGAAGGAAAUACUCCCUUGAUAAUCUUGAGGCUUUGCAACACUCGGUCCUUCUUUUGUCCCUGAAAUCCCCCCCAAAAUAAACACACCUUCCCCCCAUCACACAAAGGCUAUCAUUCUUGGUAAGGAUUUUUUUUUUUUUUUUUUCUUCUCGUUUUCUUGUGACAAUACCUGCGACAUGCUUCAAAUCUUCAUUUUGGCAAACCACAAAUAAAUUAAAACACAAACAUUCAUAUAACA